rnacentral:rRNA from 1 species
GACCUCAAAUCGGGUGAGACUACCCGCUGAACUUAAGCAUAUCAAUAAGCGGAGGAAAAGAAACNAACNNGGAUUCCCCUAGUAACUGCGGAGUGAAGCGGGAAAAGCUCAAAUUUAAAAUCUGGUGGUCUCUGGCCAUCCGAGUUGUAAUUUAGAGAAGCGUCUUCCGCGCUGGACCGUGCAUAAGUCUCCUGGAAUGGAGCGUCAUAGAGGGUGAGAAUCCCGUCUUUGGCNCGGACCCCAGGGCUUCUGUGAUGCGCUCUCAAAGAGUCGAGUUGUUUGGGAAUGCAGCUCAAAAUGGGUGGUGAACUCC